CUUGGUUAAACAAUUACCCUGAGGAUCAAAUAUUUUUGUGAUUUUGUUUUUCCAUCUACAUAUAAUAGUGAAAAGAUGAAAAUAACGAGUAUUCACAUCACCUUCUUGUAACUAGGUUUGCUUGGACUUUUGCUGCCAAAGAAGUUCUUGUCUGUUGAAAUUUGCAUUAUAAUCAGCUAACAAACUUAGCAUUCGAUUAUAAAGAUAAGGAGUA
rnacentral:lncRNA from 1 species